rnacentral:rRNA from 1 species
GAUGAACGCUAGCGGCAGGCUUAACACAUGCAAGUCGAGGGGUAUAAGUCUUCGGAUUUAGAGACCGGCGCACGGGUGCGUAACGCGUAUGCAAUCUGCCUUUCACAGGAGGGGAUAGCCCAGAGAAAUUUGGAUUAAUACCUCAUAGCAUUAUAGAAUGGCAUCAUUUUAUAAUUAAAGUCACAACGGCGAAAGAUGAG